GAUCAUAUUCCUAGUUUGAGACUUAAUUGUUUUCUUAGUUUUAAAGCUGAGAUUUGGUUUUCCACAAAGAAUUGAAGAUUCAAGAUUGUUACACUAAAUUCAUUUCAAGGUUUUGUCAAUUUAUUUAAUUCAGUUAUUUUAAUUUUAUUUUUGUCUUUAAUUUAUUUAAUUAUGUCUGCUAAGUUUCUUUUCUAAUUGUAGGAUUUGUAUAGUUGAUUGAAAUUAUGUGUUUGAUCUCUUAAUACCAAUUUGUCUUCCAGUGUUUGCUUCAUGAUUGAUGCGUCUUCGACUUUUGGGCCAUUUGGCCCUAUUUUUCCCUUUUUAUUGUGUCUGUUUAGGUCAUAUUGGGGAGAGAACGAGGUUUGAAGGGAUGAGAGGUCCAGUUCAGGGCAUAUAAGAGAAAGAUGGUCAGAAUGAGCAUUACCAGCUCAAACUGCAAGAUGUCAUGUUUACAGGGAUGGAGCAGAGGCGAAGUACCGCUCAGAAUACAUCUGAGGAGUGGGAACCAGCAAAGUGUACCACCUUGUAUGAGGCGAACCAGAAGAAGCAGUCAAUACGACCAUUACCAGAAUGAGCAGCAGCAGCCGAAGCUCAAUAAGGAAACCCGUGUCCAGAAGAUAUCAUGAAGAUUGUAGGCGAAUGAAGUAUGGCAAGUGAAGGAUCCAGAAGGUGGUAGAAGUUGACUCCAUCGGCAGCUGGAAGAUCAUAUCCAAUCAGAUCAAUCAGUGAUUGGGCUAAACAUGGAAAGAAGAUCAAUCUGUAGAUAUGGUUGCCGGAGUUUGACUGCUACCGUGAUGAUAUUUAAGGGCCAGCAUAUGUGGCUGGCGGAGGACUUUUGACACCCCCAUCUUUAUUCACCAUUAUCACUGUGCACCAAGAAACAAUUUACUUUAGUUUGUUUUACUUUCGCAAGAACAAUUUAUGCUUUCUAGUAUUUCAAUUCGGUUGCAAGAAACAAGCCAAGACAUUUUGCGUUAGGU
rnacentral:lncRNA from 1 species